rnacentral:rRNA from 1 species
UAUUUGAUUUCCUUCGGGAUUGAUUAUUCUGUGACUGAGUGGCGGACGGGUGAGUAACGCGUGGGCAACCUGCCUUGUACAGGGGGAUAACAGUUGGAAACGGCUGCUAAUACCGCAUAAGCGCACAGUACCGCAUGGUAUAGUGUGAAAAACUCCGGUGGUAUAAGAUGGACCCGCGUUUGAUUAGCUAGUUGGUGGGGUAACGGCCUACCAAGGCGACGAUCAAUAGCCGACCUGAGAGGGUGACCGGCCACAUUGGGACUGAGACACGGCCCAAACUCC